rnacentral:rRNA from 1 species
UGGGGAAUCUUGCGCAAUGGCCGAAAGGCUGACGCAGCGACGCCGCGUGGAGGAUGACGCCCUUCGGGGUGUAAACUCCUGUUGCCCGGGACGAAUGCCCCUUUCGAGGGGAGUGACGGUACCGGGUGAGGAAGCACCGGCUAACUCUGUGCCAGCAGCCGCGGUAAUACAGAGGGUGCGAGCGUUGUCCGGAAUCACUGGGCGUAAAGGGCGCGUAGGCGGCUCGGUAAGCGUGUGGUGAAAGCCCGGGGCUCAACCCCGGGUCGGCCAUGCGAACUGUCGAGCUGGAGCACGGUAGAGGCACAUGGAAUUCCGGGUGUAGCGGUGGAAUGCGUAGAGAUCCGGAAGAACACCGGUGGCGAAGGCGGUGUGCUGGGCCGUAGCUGACGCUGAGGCGCGACAGCGUGGGGAGCAAACAGG